GCCAUUUCACUUACAUGGUUGUGCCAUCUGUCUUCAGAAUGCUCUACUUUCUUUAUUGGCUACAAUUCAUGCUCAUCAUUCUCUUGUGACUAUAGUCAAAGGAGCAGAAUGUGGCCAGAAAUGGUCGCUACAUCCCUCUUUAACUCAACAGAGAAUGAUAAAAGCCAAGAAGGUUUGAUCCCAAGGGGAGACAUUUAAAGGUGAAGACCUAUACACAGAUAUCAUUGAAUGUCCUGGAAUAUGGAAUAAAGAAGAAGGGACCAGAAGGGCGAUAUCAAGACAUGUAAAGCCCCCUCUUCCCAGAGCAGACAGGUUUGAACUCUCCUGUGUUUUCAGAAUCCAUUCCAAGGGGACCAAAAAUUCCGCCCCAAGAUUUCCUGGUGCCUGCCACUGGCGCAAACGUUACCUAGUGAUGUCUGCACAAGUGUCAGAGAGGUGGAGGGAUCCUUCAAAUCUGUUAAAUGUGGAAUAAAGAGGAGAAUAACUUGAAUUAAAUUCCUGUCCCCACUUGAAAUAGACUCUGACUGUGCCUCUGUACCUGGCCCUGAUUUUUGCAUGAAAAUAUUCCUUUUGUCCCUAUCUGGUGCUAGCCUUCAAAAAGGAACAGGGUUUAAAAAGCAGGAAAUAAUGUGAGAUUUUAAGCAAACAGUUCAAUAUUCUUUUAGAAUGCUCUCUGUAUUCAAAAGCACUUUGAUUUAUAUCUUUAGCAGUCUUUGAAACGGUACCUCUUUUAAAAGACCAUCCCUGAUUUUGGGUCUUUGUUCCUUUAUGAGCUUUGUCCCUGAU
rnacentral:lncRNA from 1 species